GACGAGGGAUCCUAGCGUUGUUCGGAAUCAUUGGGCGUAAAGCGGGUGUAGGUGGCUUUGUAAGUCGGGUGUGAAAUCCCUGGGCUCAACCCAGGAAGUGCAUUCGAUACUGCGAAGCUUGAGUGCUAGAGAGGUAAGUAGAAUACCUGGUGUAGUGGUGAAAUACGUAGAUAUCAGGUGGAAUACCGGAGGCGAAGGCGGCUUACUGGCUAGACACUGACACUCAGACCCGAAAGCGUGGGGAUCAAACAGG
rnacentral:rRNA from 1 species